rnacentral:tRNA from 1 species
GGUUCCAUAGUGUAGGGGUUAGUACAUUUGCUUUACAUGCAGAAAGUCUUGGGUUCACGCCCCAGUGGAGCCA